UACGUAGGGUGCGAGCGUUGUCCGGAAUUAUUGGGCGUAAAGAGCUCGUAGGCGGUCUAUCGCGUCGGUCGUGAAAACUUGGGGCUUAACCCUGAGCUUGCGGUCGAUACGGGCAUGACUGGAGUUCGGCAGGGGAGACUGGAAUUCCUGGUGUAGCGGUGAAAUGCGCAGAUAUCAGGAGGAACACCGGUGGCGAAGGCGGGUCUCUGGGCCGAUACUGACGCUGAGGAGCGAAAGCGUGGGGAGCGAACAGG
rnacentral:rRNA from 1 species